UACGUAGGUGACAAGCGUUGUCCGGAUUUACUGGGCGUAAAGAGCGCGCAGGCGGUCGAUCAAGUCGAGUGUGAAAGCCCCCGGCUCAACUGGGGAGGGUCAUUCGAUACUGAUCGACUCGAAGGCAGGAGAGGGUAGUGGAAUUCCUGGUGUAGCGGUGAAAUGCGCAGAUAUCAGGAGGAACACCAAUUGCGAAGGCAGCUCGCUGGGACGUUACUGACGCUGAGACGCGAAAGCGUGGGGAGCGAACAGG
rnacentral:rRNA from 1 species